GUUGGUCUAGUUCUGUGUGGAAGACUAGUGAUUUUGUUGUUUUUAGAUAACUAAAUUGACAACAAAUCGCAGUCUGCCAUAUAGCACAGACUGUG
rnacentral:pre_miRNA from 1 species